rnacentral:lncRNA from 1 species
CCGCCGCUCCCGUAGGUCACUGACGCCCCGCCCAAUCCAGCCGCCUCUCACCAAGCUCGCCUAGCCGCACCCCAAGGUCGCCGCAGCCGCGUCCCAUCAUUCGGGCGCCGCUUCCCAUUGACCCGCCGUCACGCAUCCCAUCUGCCAUUCGCCGCCGCUCCCUGGAGGAAGCCCUAGCUCAGAUCCGACGGGCAUCUACCACCGGCACUCUCGAGGUAAGCCUUCUCGCCCAGCCCGCUGGGCAUUGGAUCCCUAUCAACCCCUGAUUUUGCCUUUUAGGUAUCCAUUUUCCCCAAUUCUGAAAUUGCGCAUGAACCCAUCCAUCGGCCUGAAAACCAAAUCGACCUUGAUUUACCUUGCAGAAGGAUGGGGCGUAGUGGUUUUAGGGAUAACGGGCACGCUUCAAUGAUGUCUUAGCUCCGGGGUUCGGAUCGUACCACGCCAAAAUGAGCGGCUUUCGGGUCGUAGGGGCCGGACUUGGAGAGAGCAUUCCGCGUUUCCAUCCAGUUGUCACACGUCUCAAUUCUCGCGAAGACAUGGAUGAACUUGAAGUCGACAUCGUCGUUGUCCUCUCGGCAGGUGGUGAACAUGGCGACCAUUUACAAGACCCCAGGCGGAAAAUAUAAAAUCGGCGACACAAAAGUUGAAAAAGACGCCGGCUUACCUGAUUGGGGGCGCUGUUGCCGCUUUGGGGUCGCCGGCGCACCUCUUCUUGAAUGCCAUGCCAUUAGUUGCAAGCUUGUUGGAUCAUGCCCCAUCGGUGCGACAUGCCGGACUCGUUGCGACAGUGGGUCAACAUCGCGAACUCCUCCCGACCGACGAUCCGACGCUCAUCAUAUGCCGCCUUCACCCGCUUCCAAUAGGUGUCGGCAUUUUGAUUCGCGACGGUGAAGGGAUCCAUGCUCACGACCUUCCGAGCUUUGGUGAGGCACUCGACUUCAUUGGGGGUCCAUUUGGGGCCUUGGCCUCCACCGCCGGCCUUCUUCUUCUCGGUCGCCGACUUCUUCUUCCCCCUCGGCUCAGCGACGGUGGGCUCCUCUGUCCCGUCGGCCCAUUCUUCUCGCUCUUCGGCGUCCUUGCCAGCGUAAGCCUCUUCUUCUUGGGUGUAGGUGUAGUGGGCGUGCUGGGAGCCGCCGCUGAUCAUGUCGGCCAUGAUGGACUCGCCUUGCGACAUUCCAUCGAAAGGGUUGGGCGCGGCCUGGCUGCAGCCGGCGGGGAACUGCUGGAAGGAGGCGGACGGCGAAGAACCGCCGUCACUACUACAAAAUGCAACAUAAGUGACGGGUCAUCGGUGACGGGCCUUUCCUGCCGGGUGUGCCACGCCCGUCACUGAUGAAGCCUAGAAAGCCCGCCACUAACGGCCAAUAUGAAAAAUCACAAAAACACACAUUCGUGGCGGGCUUUACAUUUAGGGCCACCACUGAUGACCCCUGGCAUCCUUUGAAGAUUGAAAAAAUCAUAACCAAUUCAUAAAAAAUCAGAAAAAUGCGAUUCUUUUUGAUGAAGUCUUAUUUUUUCUUGCUUAACAUAGUGGAAUAAUAAUAUCACAUGGUAACAUUUGAAAAAUGACAUACAUAGCACAAUCUUGUUAUUUCCCAUAGUUGAACUUUAGGUUUUAAGCCAAAUGACAAAAGUUUGUCCAUUUCGAUGCCACAAUUCAUGAUAAUGUAUCCAUUUUUUGCACAAAUGUGCAUCUUGUUAUGACAAACAAUAUUUCCAAAGAAGUUUACAAUUUUUUGGUAAAAAAAACAAUUUUCCAUUUUCCAAAUGCAAAAAAUGGGAUAUUUUGUGAAGCAAGUGCUAUUAAUAUGGUUCAAAAUGCCACUUAUCCAAUUUUCAAACAAACAAGAACUUGUUUCAUUGCUAUUCUAUAGUUUUUGAAUUUUCUAACUUUCUAGAUACUUUAAGUUGUGAAAGAAUAAAUGAUAAAGACAAAAAAUGGAAAAUGUAUUGUCCCAGUCACUAGUGGCGGUCAGGCUAUUUUCGGCCGACACUUAAACGAAACAGAAACGUUGUGCUGCAUUUUGAUUGGCUGGAUGGGUGGAGGUGCGGAUCGGUGAGGUGGCGCAUCCCAAUCCACUCCUUCCUGGCUUCCUCCCUUAUCUCUCCCACCCACACACCCAUCUCCCCAUUCCUCUCUUAUCUCUCUGUCUCCCUCCCUCUUUCAUCUGUUCUCUCGUAACCCUCCCUCCCACGAUCCUAGCAACGGCCACCGCCACCAUGUUCGAGGGAAAGGGCGCCGCCUCCGUUCCCGGUCGCCACCCGCCGCACGUGAGGGCCCCAUGCCGAGCGCCCUCUCUCUGCUCUCCCUUCGAAGCCCGCCGCCACCGACAUGGAAGCCCGCCCCGGCUCCGGCUCCUCCGGAUCCGGCCGGCCCGAACCCUCCGCCGCCAGAUCCGGCCGACCCGGGCCCUACGCCGCUGGUAUGUUUCUCUCCUUCUCUCUCUCUCUCUCUCUCUCUCUCUCUCUCUCUCGUGCAGGGCAGCAGAUCAUCACCGCCGUGGAGACAAGGCUGGCGCUGUCACCGACUUCCACGUGACGGCAGUACGGCUACGGCCAACCGGAACGCGCAUUUUGCGGUUUGUUGGAUUAAAUUGUCGAUUUAUGAUUUGUUCAUCAUUUGUUGGAUUAAAUUGUCGAUUCGUGGAUUAAUUCAUCAAUUUGUCGGAUUAAAUUGUCGAUUUGUGAUUUCUUUAUCCAUCGUGUGCAGGUUGUGCCCCGCUUUUUUUUUAAAUUUCAAAAACGACAUCAGUUUCGGGCUUUACAGCGCCUGUUACUGAUGGCACAUAGCAUCAAUAACGGGCCAACCGCCCGUCACUAAUGUGCCCCAUAUCACUGGCAGUCAGUUAGUGUCGGACGGUUUGCCCUAGCGUUUUUUGACCGUUACUAAUGGCCAUUUUUGUAGUAGUGCGUAGGAAAGAGGCCCACACCGUAGAGGAGGUGAGGCGAAGGCGUUGGGGUUGAAUCCGCCGAGGGGAUCAGCGGCGAAGGUGUUGGGGUUGAAGCCGCCGAGGGGAUCGGUGUCGGGGGUAGUCCGGCGAGAACCGCGAGAGGGACGGCGUGGCAUUUCCAUGGUUUUCAUGGGGCAUAUAGGCGACACCGGUGAAAUGUCUGACGGCGACGGUGACAUCGAAGAACUCCCUUGGUUGUCGUUGCUCAAGUACUGGCCAGAGGGUGGCCGCGGUGCCGUCAUGCCAGCCAUGGUCGCGGCCAUCUGCUGGGCCAGAACGACGUUUCUUUCCUUGGCCUUCUUCUCCCAACCUCGGCCGGCGGCGUUCUCGACGAGGCGACGAGUCCAAUCCGCCGCUCAAUCAGCGUUGCUCAUCCUAGGCGGACGCUCUCUCUCUCCCUCGGUUUCUUUGCCGCUCCGUCACUACAACAAUAAACCCACGUAGAGACGCUCAAUUUAUGGGCUAGAAACACUUUAUAUCAUCUCUACACAAUUGUAGACUCGCUUUGUAAAGCGUCUUAGGAGCGUCUCCUCCAGCACCAUGUCUAAAAAUGUAGAGACGUACGACAAGCAUGUCUAGCUAAAUAUGAGACGUUCAUAAAGCAUGUCUAUGAGAAUAGAGACGCUUUGGCAAAUGCCCAUGAAAUUCUCGUCCCAACCGUGAUUGAGUCGUUUUAGUGCGUCCUAAAAAGAACUGUGACGCUUUAUUUUGCUACGGUAAAUUAUUAUUGUUUCUAUCAAUAAAAUAAAAUAUUACCAUUUUCAUUUCAAGAGAAUCUUAAUUUUAACUAUGACAAAGCACAAUACAGUAGAAAAAUACAAUACAUUGUUGGAAAAUAAUAACUUCAUUUCUGAAGAUCAAAUCAAAUUUCUGAUUUACAACUGAACUGUACACUCCAAAAAUUUACUCUUCUCUAGAAAAAUUACACUUGAUUCAUCAAAAUGAUGAAAUUACAUUUAUUUUUUCAUCUAACUAUGAUGUAAUCUAUCUCUUCUUCAUGGAAAUAUUGUACAUGAGCUCCUUUUCCUCACCAUCCUGUUGCAAUUUUUCCAUGCGCAUGCACGCCUUCUUUUGUGUUGCUUAAAAAAACUUGGCAGAUACCCUGCAAGGAAAGCCAACCAAUUUAGAUAAAUAAAUUGAUAUGGAGAACAAAUUCUCCUACGAAGUCUAACAUUUACACAUGCAAGACACUAGGAGCGAAAAAAAAACAUAUAACUGAAGGUUCAUAAUAGUUCAGAACCGAACCGUGAGUCCACCAAACAGGCCCUCAUUAUUAUGCUUUGCAAAAUCCUCAGAAAAGAAACUGUGAUGUGAGAAAGCCAAUGAAAGAUAAAUGAAUCCUAGACCAGUUAUUGAAGGGUCUUUAUUUACCUUGAGUAAUUGAUCCUAGACCGGUUAAAGAACAGGGACUCAUGCUCAAUUCAGCAUCCUGUAACCACUGGUGCUGCAACCUUGUUGCUAACCAUCAGUGCUUGGUUAUCACAAACAGUGUACGGGCAUAAGCAAUUCUAGAAGUUAGUAUUAUAGUAGACAAAGGUCAAAUAAUCUCACUGAUGCAGUGAAAAAAGUGUCACAGUCUUAAGUCUUAUAUUCUUUUCCAUAGAAGAUUGCAUAUCUCAGGCCAUGUUUUGUGAUGUUGCUUAACUGAAGGUUGCCAUAAUUCUGCAAAGAGCAAUAAGACCAUCCAGUGCUAUCAGGACAGGGCUUUGCAAAAUAGUUCCAUUAGUACUAAACAUACAUUGCUAAAGUGCGUGCAUACCUCUGUUGUUCUCAAUCAGCCGGCUGCCUGUAACUUUGAGAGUUAACAUUCAAUGUGCCCACCUCCUACAUGAAUCAGUCCUCGGAAAUUGCCGAUAUACCCAACCAUUACCAUCUGCUCCAGAUCCUAACUGAAUGACUGAGGAAAAACAACCUAAAUCAAUAAUACAAAAUAACAAGGCCAAAUUAUUGCUAAUCGACUGUGGUUUCCUCUGCAAAUGGAAACUAUCACUUGAUCUUUCUGGUUCGAGCAGACACCACAACAAUUCUAUAUAGAGUGCCAUGAUAAAAGCAAAUAAUACCAUAUCCAUACCAUACAAGGGAAGAGAAGGGAGAGGAAAACCUUGAAGGUGUUGCCUACCUUCGUGGAUUGGAAAACAGAGCAAGGAAAAGGGAGAAGGAUGCUAGCGGUGGAUACAUACCUAAGGCACGGUCCGGUAUAGUCUCAACGUCAUCCGCCGCCGCGGGUCUCCGGACGAAGACCUAGCACUGCUGGAUGAGAGGACGCCUGGAGGGGAGGAAGAUGAGAUGGAAACCAGCCGGAUCUCCGUCCUAGGGCGGCGCCGUUGUGGGGAACGGCCGGAUCUCGUGGCGCCGUGGUGGGGAACGCUCCCGCCCCUCCCACGAGUUGGGUGCGGCCUGGGGCGUCAGCUAAAAUAUUAUGCCGCACCGGCUAAGUUUUAGAAAUGGGGUCUGGGCUGGGUGGGCUCUUAAGGCCUUACGACUAUCCUACUUAGGACUUAUCCAUUGAGAUUCCAAGAGCAGCAGGUCGUCCGGUGGCCUUGGCAAAUGCGCAAGGCAGGCCAACUGCCGUGCAUUGUCCAAUAGCCAUGUUCGCCGAGAAACCAAUCCAAACCCCGCUAAAUUUCAUAAAACCACACAUUUUGGUGCAUUUUGGUGCAGUCUUUUGAAAAAUCACACUUUUCCUGUCACAAUGUAACAACAAGCCCGAAAUACCGUGUUUAAGCGAGUUGAUAGAUUUCCUUAUAGGUCGGGCCCACCUGUCUGGUUGUUGUUACAUUGUCAACUCUAAGAAAAAGCGUCAACUCGCCUAAACACAUCAUUUCGGAUUUGUUAUUACAUUGUAACUUGAAAAGUUUGGUUUUUCGAACAAAUUAACAAAAGUGGUGACUGUGUGAGAAGGCGGCCCAAAAUGUGUGGUUUUUUAAAAUUUACUUUUUUUUUUAUCCCGUCACCCUCCCGUUUGACACAAUAUAUAUACUCGGAAUCUUUCUUAUAGUUUUCGGUAAAAAAAAACUGAUGAGUUAGACAGCUGCUUAUAGAGUUUAGACGGGUUCAACUGAGCCACGCAGGCUAGUACUGUUCAUCGCUAGCUGGGAAGAGGAAAUCCCGCCGCCCAUCCGUUGGAUAUUCGCCAUUAGCCAUCGGCCGUUUCUUCAGGUCUGGCUGUGCUUGAGAAAAAUCGUAGAGCUAGCCGGGGCUGGGGGUAGCAGGAGAGCUAGACGGCAGCGACGAGGUGCUGCUGUAGCUCCAUGGCUCGCUGUCGACUUAUGGGCCGGUGUAUGGGCCGGUGCCCGGCCGGCGCCGUGCGCGCCAUACCAAGCUAGGAGCAGGAGGUAUGUAUAAGACCACCGUACCAUCGACGGCUCUCAGCAGCUGUGGGAUCUAUUCAUCUAUAGCGUCAGGGCAUUCGGUUUUUAUGCUCUCAGUCGGCCGUUGAUGCUGACUUCGCGGACAGGGCGACAAGCUCAGCCAUAUGGUAUUCUUUUUUUUCUUUUUCUUUUUCUUUUUCUUUUUCUUUUUUGCGAGACAGCCAUAUGGUAUUCAAAGGUUGGAAAAUGGAGACGGGUUCGACGCUUUAAACUGGAAACAGAUCCGUGAUGUAUGCAAACCGGUGUGAUGUAUGUAAACCGGUGGAGCGCGCAGUUUAAUUAACCCGGGUUGGCGGCUUGACGGCCGGUUAGUUUGGUUGGACCUAGCAGGUGUACUGAACGGACCUAGCAACUAAUAAGGGCUCGUUCGGUUUGUAGGAAAUCUAGAGAAUGUUUACAUGAUUUCAAUUCUUAGGAAUUUUUCCUAUGUGUAGCAUUUGUUUCAUAGAAAUAUAAUUGAGAUCAUAGAUUUCUAAGGGUUGAGUCCAAAUUGAUCUAAUUACAAAAGAUUCUACACAUUAUGUGAGACCUCACGGGAAAUUUCUAAGGAUUGAGAUGUCCAUGACAUCUCAAUCCUCUACUUUCCCCCUAUUUCUAUGAUUUCAAAAUCUUGUAAACCGAAAUAAGCCCUAAGCAUGCGUUUGCCACUCCUGAUCCUUUCUUUAAUAUUAAAUCAUCUUUAAUUUCUUGGCCUAAACAAUCUGGUAUACAACAUAUCAGUGAAUGAAAAAUCAUAAAGAGCUGGUUUAUUGUUUGCCCCAUACGUAGUACGUACACAUGCACGUACGUAUGUAUGUCUCCAGGGAAGAAACAGAUCAACAAAGUAUAUAAUUAUACCUUUUCCUUAAUUAAGUAACCGUGAGAUUGAUGCAGAGGCUGGAUAUACCCCUUUUCGAAAAAACAAAUAAUUAAGUAACCAUGCAUGAGAUCCCUGAACUUGUUUAGGAUGUGAGAACAUAAAUCACAACACCCCUGCUCAUACAUCUAGGCUCCUAUAGGCCUUGGAGGUGGAAGUGAAAUAUUUGCCAAGCUUGCCUUUCUCUCCGUAUUAAUGCGCGCAUUCCCUACCUAUGUGCUGUUCUAUAUAUAUUAUAUGCAUAUGUCGUAUGCACAUAUUAAGAGUAAGAUUAAUAGCUAUAGCCUGCUGCUGGCUGUAAGUUUUGCCAUGUCAUCUUUAAGUAGUAUAAGAGCAAGAUUAAUAGUUUAGCCUGCUGCCGGCUAUAAACUUUUGCCAUGUCAUUUUUAGCUAACAUAUAGCUAGCAUGUAUAAUAAGGUGGCUACAAGAAUGUACUACUUUGUUAUGAGGAGACCCACAUUAUAGUCUCAUAGAGUGCCUAAGAGCACGUGUUGCAGCUUGCUAUUAGAUAGUAGCCCACUUCUCUUCUCUCUCCUUUUCUCUUUUCUCCAACUAAGCAAAGAUACAAUAUUUAAAUCUUUAGAGCCUGCUUACGUCACAUUAUUAUUCUUGCUCUAAUAGCUAGCAUGUAUAAUAAGUUGGUUAUAAGAAAUACUAAUUAAUUAAUAGCUGGCCCACAUUACGGUCUCACAGGGUGCCUAGGAGCACGUAUUGCAGCUGGCUAAUAGCAGCCCACUUCUCUUCUCUCUCCUUUUCUCUUUACUCCAACUAAGCACCAAUAUAAUAUUUAAAUUGUUGUAACCAGCUUAUAACCCACUAUUAUUCUUGGUCCAAGUGAUCAACCGAAGGAAGGCGUACAUAAAUUCCCCAUGCAGCAUGCAGAGAAUGUCAAUUAAGACAAAUUAACUGUAACUUGUUCACGCGCUCUUCUUCCACAAUUCCUGCAAAUAUAUAUGUAACCAAUUGAGAAAGAAGUUCAACCGAGAUGGUGCCUAGAUAGCUAGUCUCCAUGCUCUUUGCUCUUCAUCCAAGACCUGCAAUUACAUGCGAAGAUGAAUGGUCAUUAAUUAAUACUAAAGUGCCGUCUUAAAGAACAUGCCUAUGUCUAGCUUUACAUCAGCUGUGCUUCGGUAGAUUAAAUUUCACAUGGUCGAUCCGAGAUUAUAGUUCCUGUCAACUCAGCUUCCUGCCAUAUGAUUGGUCGUCGGCGAAGUGUGUGGCUAGCUUUGCCACAUGCACGCAACUCUUACAUAGUACACCUCUUUGUCGCGAUUUAAUGACAUUGAAAUAUUACUGUAUAUGCAUAAUAACCACUGCUACCAUGCGAUGAUGUCACAUCUCACUAGCUUCCGUUUCUUCCCGUUGCUAUCACUUAGAUCUAUGGGCGCACUCGAUCGUUUAUUCUCUGUCUCUCUCCAUUUCCUGCAGGGGGAACAUGGAUGGUGUGCAUGGUCCUCCAUGGUCGCAACCAUGUAGGAGUACAUGACUACUACAUAUAUAGGGCCACGGAACUGCGUACAUUACAGAAUAAUUGACAGCUCAGAAAACAUUAAUAUAUUGAGUUAACUAAACUUCUCUAUCUUCACCACUAAUUAACAAACAAUAAAUAAAAUCUCUUAGCUAAAAAUUAAUGAAAACUAGUGUCACGAUAUAAUUUUCAUUUGCUUCCCUCAUUAUACAAACAGUAAUAGUAAAAGCUGAAAAUUGAAGGCGGUAAAACCAUGAAAAUAUCGUACGUGUGUAUCGUGUAUUUGAAAAGAAUGGCGCAUUAAAUAGUGAAUAAUUUAUUUUGUGGCAUUUCGUUCCUAUUAUUAAUUUCCUAUCCAGACUUAUUGUCUCCACCAAUUUUGUGUCUUUAUUAAAGAAAUAGUACUAACAACAAUAAUGUUGUUAUCGUUGUGUUCUUCUUGUUGUUGAAGUGCAAUAAUGAAGUGUGCAUUCAGAUUUUGCACCUGUGAAAAUGAUUUGUCCUGUAAACCAGAUAUGACUUUAUGAUGUUCCUUUUGUCUCUGGGAUUUUUUUUUUUGCGAUGUACAGAAUCCUAGGUAUAAAAUAAGGACCUGCAGAAACUCAUCCAAAAAUAUGAUUAUAUUUGGCAUGCAUAUUUGCAAAAAUGGGCAAGAUCGAUAUGAAGAAAUUUUCUUUUCUUGUACGGAACAACAUGGUAAUAUCAUUAGCUGAAUGCUUCCAUUUUUCCAUUCUGUUGGAGCCUUUAUGCGUAUGAGUUGUUAAAUACUCUUUUGAAAACAUAGAUAGUACAUAAUAUCACCCUCCAAAAUGCGAGCAAAUUAAGAUAUGGUGAAUGGUUUUGCAUCUCAAGAAUUCCGGAAAAUGUGAUUCAUGGUGUACAAAACAUAUACUACUUCAACCUAUAAACAUACACAAACAAAUAUACUAUAUGACAUUUGUGUCCUUGCUCUUUGGACGUACAGAUCGUAUAAGAGAUAUAAAUGAUUUUUUUUUUGUAUAAUACACAAAUGACCAUAUUGCCAGAUGCAUUUUUUGCACUUCCCAUUCUAUAGUACACUCUACACAAGGAUUUUGUCAACCUCGAGAUAUAAAUCCACCAUCCAGAACCAGACUAGGGUUUUGGGCAAAUGGUUCUAGCUACUUUAGAGUACAAUAAGGCAAUUUAUACAGUUCCAGGUUGGAGGUUGGUUUCAAGGUUUAGGGUGGACUUUUGUCCUAUUCUUUACCAUUUUAUUGCUCCUAUAAGUGUCAAAGCCAAGGACAUUGCCCGCUAGGUAUCUAGAUGAAGCUCACCCUAAUUUCAUCACGUUAGCUUCUUAGCACAAUAAAUUGUAACAAUCAGGAACUCUAUUAUUGUAAAUAUUGAUAGGCAUUCAUCUCAACGUGUAAUACUCUGGACAUCCAUACAUAUCGCAAGAUCUUGUCGCCCCAUCAUAAGGUUGUAUCCGUAUUUGUCUAUUUGUGAGUGUUUAUUAUUUCCUGUCUCAGCUACCACAAAGAAGAUCCUAGCCCAACCUAAUUAAUCACACGACCUGCAGAGGCCGGGGGAGUGUCCUCCUUUUCAAAAAAAAAACUUAAUCACACGACCUGUCCACCAUUACUUGUCAUCUCGAAAUGGGUUUGAUCUCUAAACAAACAUUUGCCUCUCUCAGGCCGAAGAAAAGGAUCGGAGUGGGAAACAAUUUUUUUGUUAAAAUUGUACAUUCAAUUCUUGAACUUGGGAACUCUUGGCUCCGGUAUGUCAUAUAUACCAUGAGAUUUUCAUCCACCAGUCAGUUCACACGAAAAUCUUAAUUAGGCUGGUGAGAGAAGGCGCAAUAUAUAUAUUCUGAUCGAUCAUACUUCAACAAGAAGAACCUAAUAUUAACUAAUCGUAUUGUAUUUUUAGAUAAUUUUGAGAGGAGUGUCAUGAUUUUAUGAUUUAUGUUUGAAGAGCAUAUAUAUCUUGUCUACUUAGGUUUUAUGUAAUGAAUUAAUCUUUUCAGAGCGUAUGGUUAUUUUUUUGCCAGGUAGUGAGAGUAUCAUAUUAAUUGCUUCACUCAGCAACUUUGAAGUUCAAGUGUGGAAUUUCCCAAACCUCUUAUGAUCCACAUAUGUUACUUGAACUACUAUGAGUACUCAACUAUUAUUUUUCUAGCGAGAUUUAACUUCAUUAUAAAAACAAUUCAUGAUAUACCAUAAAUUGACUCGUUUGCAUACAUCAUGCAAUGUCCUCACUUAUUCAUUGUGAAGGUCGUGACGAGCAGUCAAAAGUCAAAAAUAUUUUAAGAAUGCUAAACCUGGUAGUAGCCACUAAACACUCAUUUAAUUUUAAAUUUUGAAGCAAUCCCAGCUUUGUUUUGAGGCAAUCAAAAAUUUUCUUUUCAAUAUGCACUAUAUCUAUUGUAGAUGCAUCGCAUAGUUUGAAAUUUUGAGCAGUCACAACUUUGUUUUAUUUGGAGGCAAUCACAUUUUACUUUUCAAGGUAAAUUGUACAGAUACAUUUAUCAGGCAUGCAUUCAUAUAAUAACAAACAAAAUGUAAAGGAACUGAAGAAUAGAACUAUUUCGAAUUAUGGUUCACUGUAGGUGGGACCGAUAGUACCACUGUGAGAUUCAGUAACAUGGUCAAAAUUGAUCUCCCAGUGUUGCUCAAAUUUUCCCUCAAAAUUUUAGAUUUCCCUCAAAAAAAGUGUUGCUCAAAUACUGAGUCGAGUUAGUCAAAUCUUAGCUUUUUGAACAGAUUAAUUCUGUGAAGACAAUCAUUUGUAUUCCUAAACGUACAUAUACUCCGUAGAACUCUAUGAUGGAUUAUUUGUCUCAUGUACGUAUAUAUGCCUGCACAUAUGGGUGGCAUCUUUAACUAACAUAUCACUCUAUAUAUGUUUUUUAAUUAAAGGCCACAUGUUUAAUAUUUGUGUUUCACAAGACCAAGAAUAUCUGGCCAGGUACCACUAUCUUGCGACAACGUAACAAAAAGAUGAUGUUCACAUGUACUGUGUACUUAAGCAAACGACAAUAUAAGAUGAAUUUUGUUGCCUGUACAGCUAACAAAACGAAAACUAAGAUGUGGGUAACUAUAGACGACAGGUCUAAGGAGAGCCAGCUAAACUUAUUAGUUAUUACAGCAGGAACCAAUUAAAGGGCUGCUCUAAUGAUUAAAUUCCCGCAGCCCUGCAACAGUGCCUAUAUUAUAGAUUCAAGGAAAAAAUAUUAUAGAUAGUUGGAGGAGGAACAUGCAUGCAUGAAGCAUGAUAGAACUAGUGAAAGACCCAUACGCACUCUGUGCUGCCGCAGAUCGGCAGAUGAGCAGGGCGAUGCAUUUCUUGAUGAUAUACAGCUUUCCCUUCUGCUGCCUCACCGCGCUGCGCAGCCUCUCCAGCUUACCCUCCUUCGUGAUCUCCGCCAUGUCCUAAUAUAUGCAGCCAUGAGCCCAUGAGCUUUGUGCAGGACGAUGGACUAGCUAGCUAACUCUCAGAAAGAGGCGCAGAGCAGCCAUGAGGUAUCAUUGGAAAGAUGGACCUUGAUGCUAAUAUAUACUAGCUGGAGCCGACCUCCAGUUCAGAUGCUUUUUUUUUCGAAAAGGAGGAUGAUCCUCCAGCCUCUGCAUCAAAAUGAUGCACACAUCCAAAUUUUAUUGAUUUAUUAGCAAGCCUGACAAAAAAAAUACAUCGAUCUAACAAGCCAAAGUCACCAGACUAUGCCUACAAUCCUAAUGAAGGAGUGGCCAUUAUUAGGCCCGCAUGCCCUGACCGCAAACCACCACCUAACAUCAAAUCUGGAGGCCACGAAGGCACAACCAAAUCCUCGACGUGUGCCGUCUUCUCACACUCUAGAAUUAGCCGCCGCCGUCUUCCACCAACCCAUCUUCAGGACAAGGAUCGAAGCAUUACAACUUGCAAGGACUGGCAUCGACGACACAAAGCAGAGUCACCAACCAGCACGCACCCAGCAGUCGUCCUCACUCGCAGAUCUAGCAUUCUCCCGACGGCACCCCCAUGGGGGAGAACGACGUUGUCAACACCGUCACCGCCUAGUCAAAAGACUUUGGGUUUUCACCCGGGAAUCAAGAUCAGCGUGGUGUUGAAGUACCUCGACAACGCCUCAGAGAAGGGAGAGACAUCACGAACGUCGCCGCCGUCGUGGCCGGACUAGCCGCCCAAGGGUUUCCCCCGCACCAACACCCCUGACACCCAAUCUCCAAAGCCGCCGAAACAACGACCGCCAGAUCUGGCGAGGAAAAAGGAGUCCACCAUCGGCCUCACCUGGCCGCCGCUCAGGAAGACGCCUGCAGCCGCGAGGGCAAGGAGGCCGCCGCGACCUGGAGACCGCCCCAAGGCGGUACGGUCAGAGCCGCGGAAACAGCCGCCGCCUCGCCGACAUCGGUGCCUCGUCGCAGCUAGGCGCCAUCGGGCGUGCAGCCACAGAGCCACGGAGAUGGGGCGCGCCGCCACCAGGGGAGGGCACUGCCCCGUCGACCUCAGGGUCCUGCCGUCGCUGCCGAGGGCGGCCCCAGGCGAGGCCACCACCGCCAGGAAUCACCGUCGGAGGAGAGGCGCUCGCGCCGCCGCCAGGAGAAGAGCCGCCCGCGCCGUCGAUGCAGAUCGCGUCGAACCGAAGGAAGCCGAAGGAGCAGAGCCCCGCCGCCGCCGAUGCCGCACGGGCUUUGCCCGGCGGCGCGUGCCGGCGGCGGCGAGGAAGGGGAGGGUGGCGGCGAACUAGGGUUUCGAGUGUUGAGAGGCCGGGUCGCUUUCUCUUGGUGCCUACUCAAGAAAAAUGAUGGUCCAGUUCAGAUGGGCUGCAGUACAAUUGCAGAGAAUACAUGCAAUCCGACAGGUUGUGCUAGCUACAGGUUUUGGUGGCUAUCUUUUCGAUCGGAUGAUAUCAGGCAUGGGUCACUUAAGCUUGCUUUGGUGACUUUAAGCCCUUAACCAUCCCUAUAUUUUCUAGCUACCUAGGGUUUCUUAUUCGUUGAAGCUAUACACAAAACUGUACUUCAGUUCACAGAAGUUCCAGUAAACAAAAAAAAUCAAAUAAGAGCCAGGCCACCAGGAAAAUACUAACCUGAAAUCGGUCUAUGUGAUCCAAAAUCAGAAUGAAUGAAAACCAUUCCUAGAAAGAUUCGGAAACAUCAGAAACAAUUCCUGCAUGUACAUCAGUACACGUACCAUGUGAUGGAGCUUACAAGUAGUUCAUGUUAGAAAAAAUAUGACCAUUUGCGAGAUGUGGGACACUUGGCUACAUUUGCGCUUUUACCUUUUGUUGUGUCAUAGUAACCUACUCCCUCUGUCCCACAAUUCUUGUCUCAAAUUUGCCCAAAAAUAGAUGUAUCUAUUUCUCAAAAGUGUCUAGAUACAUGUAAGAUUUCGAAAAGAAUUAUGAAACAGAGAGUACUAUUUGUAAAACUCCUUACUUGGUUCCUACAUGGAGUAUAUGUACUCCCUCCUUCCAUUUUAAACGUUCUAGCUGGCUCUCUUCUGCGCGUGCGCCCAAUUAGCCUACAUGCACCCAAUUAUAGCGGCAGUAAUUAAUUUGAGGUCUUUUACGGUAGGGACGGAGGAAUAGCGGGCCCUUGAUUGAGCUAAUCCAAAGGUCCUUAUUUACCAAUACUAAGAGGUACGGGCAGUAGUAUUGCUCGGUCAAUGGGCAAAAAGGUCCCGUAUUCCUUUGUUUCCGUUUUUUAUUCUGCCGGGAGACAGUGACGCUCGAGAUCGAUCAGGCUGCACUGCAAGCUCAGGACAAACUCGUACUAGUAUCUUCGUCAGCUCCUUUGACGAUGCGCGCGGGCAGCUUACAGCUUACCACUCCUCCCUUGCCGCCGCCGCCGCCGCGCAGCAUAAGCAGAGGCAGCUUCUUCAGCAUGGCUUCUGCCCCGACGGCCUCGCCGCAUAUGAGCCUGUUACCCCACCGGCCACCGGCGACGCUUGCUCUGCUGCCUAGCUAGCUAGCUCACCGUUAGCUAGCUAGUUUAGCACCAUGAGAUUUUAAUAUGUAUAGUCGUACAUGAAGGUUCUUUAAUAUUGUUGCUGAUACGUUGGCCAUACUAAUUGCUUGGGCUAAGAAAGAUGGCCCACAUCUCGUUGAGGGAGGAGUCUUGAUUCUCCGGUACGCAAAUGCUACGAUUAUUUUCUUGGAACAUGACUUGGAGAAAGCCGUCAACGUGAAGUUAAUCCUCUGUAUUUUUGAACAGCUCUCAGGUCUAAAAAUUAAUUUCCACAAUAGUGAUUUUUUUUUGCUUUGGUAAGACUAAGGAUGUGGAGUCCAAUUACAAACGGCUUUUCGGGUGUGAAUCGGGAACACUGCCACUUCGCUAUCUCGGUAUUCCCAUCCAUCAUCGCAAAUUGCUUAAUAAAGAAUGUAAGUCGGUGGAGGAUUGAUUUGAGAAAAAGCUUGCGUGCUGGAAGGGUAAGUUGCUUUCAUACGGUGAUCGUCUUACUCUCAUUAAUUAUGUGCUUACCAGCAUGCCGAUGUUCAUGUUAUCAUUUUUGGAAAUUUCAGUUGGGGUCCGUAAAAGAUUAGAUUUCUACAGAUCUCGUUUUUUCUGGCAAUCUGAUGAGCAUAACCGCAAAUUCAGAUUGACCAAGUGGAAUAUAAUUUGUCGUCCAAAGGACCAAGGUGGGUUAGGCAUUGAGCUCCUGGAGGUCAAAAAUAAGUGCUUGCUUAUCAAAUGGUUGUUUAAACUUCUUAAUGAAGAGGGAUGUGGCAGCAGCUGUUACAAAACAAAUAUUUACACUCUACCACAUUGUCCCAGGCCAGUGUCAGGCCAACUGACUCUCAUUUCUGUAAAGGGCUCAUGAAAGUUAAGGAUGAAUUCUUUAAUCGUGGUAUGUUUGUCCUUAGCAACGGGACCGGAAUUCGUUUCUGGGAAGAUACCUGGUUGGGCGAUUCAUCGCUUGCCUUUCAAUAUCCAUCUCUUUAUAGGAUUGUGCAACGCAAGAACGUUUCUGUUGGCACAGUCUUUACGACGGUUCCUUUGAAUAUUAGUUUUAGGCAGAACUUAGCUGGAAACAGAUGGGGGCAAUGGUUACACUUGGUUCAGCGCUUUAUGUUGGUUCAUUUCACCGGGGACAAUGACAAAUUUAUCUGGAGUCUUGUCCCCUCUGGUAUUUUUUCUGUAAAGUCUAUGUACGCGGAUUUUAUGGAAGGGCAUACGGUUUUUCAUCGGAAAUACUUAUGGAAAUUAAAAAUACUGCUCAAGGUGAAGAUAUUCAUGUGGUUUCUUGACCUUAAGGUUAUUUUAACGAAAGAUAAUCUUGCAAGAGAAGUUGGGAAGCCACUACAACAAAACAUAGUUUAAGUAACACAAUCUUGUAACACAUAGAAAAUUAUGUUACAAACUAUUUUAUAGUAACACGUUAUAUGUGUUGCAUGGAUAGCCAGUAACACAUACUACAUUAGAUCCAAAAUGUGUUACAAGACCAUUGCAAUAGUAACAUUUAUGCUUGUGUUAGUUCAUAUGUAAUACAAACUUUAGUUACCAUAGUAACAUAAAAACAUGUUUGUCUAUACGUGUUACAAGUUGUAGCUGCACUAACACAUAAUUAUGUGUUAGUACAUAGUGUUACAAGCUAUAUAAGUCAGAUGCAAGUCAUUCACUACAAGAUCAUACACACACUAGAAAAGAGCCGCGCCACUCGCACGUACCAACAAACCGUGUAUAUUCGACCGAGGUUUAAAUUUGAAAUAAUUUUAGUGUAAAACAUUAAACGUCCAAUUCUAUGUGCGGUGCGCGUCAGGAUUCGAUCAUGCGGGCUCCCGAUCCCCUUCAUUCUAUCUGAACUCUAUUGCCAUCCCUUCUCUCAUUGUUGCUUCUGUACCAGAGGGUCAAAGAGACGGCGGCGGCGUAAAAGGGGCACACCAGUUGUAAUUCAAUUCCGACGCCCCGUUGUUUACGGAGCGUCAGAGAAUGUGUUGUCCACUUUUUUUACAUCUGGUACGCAAGAAAUGUCACAUGAUUUGAUUCCUUCUCUGACACUUCUUAGCUAAAAAAGUGCCAGAGCAGAACAUGUGACCCUCCACAGAAGCUAGGGGAAUUUUCACCAAUAUAUAUAGUUUUCACUAUCCCGCACGUCUUCCCUCCACUCCUUUGCAAUUUUUUUCAUAUCCCGCCCGAUAUUUUCCAGCGUCCAUCGAUCCCUUGCCCCCGCCGCCAUCUGCCUCGUUGUAAAUGCAAAAAAUGUGGUAGUUUGUGAAGCAAGUAUAAUUGUUAUGGUUCAAAAUAGACCCAAUCCAAUCUUUACACAAAGUAGACCAUAUUUAUGAGUUUUUAUACCAAUUUAGUUACAUAAAACACUUAUAUAUUGUAGUUAAAAUGAAAGUAAUAAAAUUUUAUAACGUAGCAGUGGCCGGUUUUAAUCAGAAUGCGCAAGUGAUGCUUAUUUGGCCCAAUUUGAGGCCCAGUCUCAUCCGCCGCAAGUGUGUGUGUGUAUACAUAUAUACUAAACAGGAACCUACCCUAAGAGUUCCUAUUUACCUUAAACAGGAACUAUUCCCAACUACCACCUCCUAUCACCGACGCGGGCGAGCGAGUGGCGGCGGAGGCCAACGCAAGGGAGCCCGCAGCGGCCGCCCGCGGCACCUCCUCCCGACGCCCCCCCGGCUACCACCUUCUUCCCCCAACACGGGCGAGCGAGCGGACCUUCUUCUCCGGCGCGGGCGAGCGAGCGGCGGCGGAGGCAAUCGGUAGUUCUACGAUAUAUUUUGAACCGCUUGUUGGCAUGAUGCAAAUUAUACGGCGUUGAAAAGUUAUGAACCAGGCGCAACUUUUUUGUUUAUAACUUUUUUGCUAAUUCUUAACAGUUUAAGAGCAGUUUCAAAUUACCGUCCGCCGGAUUACGACCAAACAAAAAACAGCGGACGGUAUUUCUACUAUAUAUUUUGAAGCACUUGUCGGAAUGAUGCAAAUGAUACGGCGUUGGAAAGCUAUGAACUAGGCGCAACUUUUUCGUGUAUAAAGGUUUUGCUAAUUCAUUACUGUUUAAGAGCAGAUUUCGAAUCAUCGUCCGCUGUUCGAAACCGUUGGGAAGUUCACAGGGUAUAAACGAGGAAGAUAUAAGCGGCGGAGGUUUAGAGACCACCGGGAAGUUCACAGUCUAUAAAACGGAAGUUCACUCGUGUAUCGAUGGAAGUUCAGAACGUUCACGCCCGUAAACCUCCUUGUUCUCUAACGCGAGCAAAAAUUACAGUCGGCGGAGUUUCAGAGACUGUCAGGAAGUUCACUGUUUAUAAAGCGGAAGUUCACUCAUGUGGUCGAUGGAAGUUCAGAACGUUCACGCCCGUAGACCACAGUUAUAGGCGUGGUUGUUGGAAAUAUGCCCUAGAAGCAAUCAUGUAUGAUGUAAUUCUC